UGCCAGCAGCCGCGGUAAGACGUAGGGGGCGAGCGUUAUCCGGAUUCAUUGGGCGUAAAGGGCUCGUAGGUGGUUACGUAAGUCGGAUGUGAAAACUCGAGGCUCAACUUCGAGACGCCAUCCGAUACUGCGUUGACUUGAGUCCGGUAGAGGAGUGUGGAAUUCCUAGUGUAGCGGUGAAAUGCGCAGAUAUUAGGAGGAACACCUAUUGCGAAGGCAGCACUCUGGGCCGGUACUGACACUGAGGAGCGAAAGCGUGGGUAGCAAACAGGAUUAGAUA
rnacentral:rRNA from 1 species